UCUCUCAUCUCUGUUAUCCCAUUUCUCUCUUGAGUCUCUUCGCGAAUUCGUUGUUUGCUCUUCUCCGAUUCUCUAAUUUCUCUCUGAGUUCUCUCUUCUUUUCUGAUUCUCCAAUUAUCCAAUUCUGUAGUCUCUAUUAUGUGUUCUCUGAGUUUCUUUAUGAAUGUUUAUUGCAAUUUUUGAGGAUUAUUGUGAAUUUCUUUAUGAAUGUUUAUUGCAAUUUGAUUGAUUUUUGGAACCUGAAUUCUACUGCUAGUUUUCAGGAUUUUUUCACAAUAUAUAUACACAUUGAUGAUCACUUUACAUUAGCCAUAAACAUAAUCAUCAAAACACGUGUGUAAUUCAAGCUAUAACAAGGAGAUCAUUUGUGCUAGCUGUGCUCACUCGUUACCACUACAUUUUCUUGCGUUUUUCCAAGGUGUCCUUUCUGUGUCUGCUUAUAAUAUGUUUCUGGUUCUAAAAUUAUGCGACUGCGUGAAUGCGUUUCUUUGUAGUCUUUUGGAGCAAUUGCAUUCAAGGUGUUUGUCAUAUUGUUUUUGAGUUGAAGUUUGAUUGUAUUUUGAAUAGUGUCUGUUUAGGUUUUCUUCUAAUCUUCUCCUAAUAUUCUCAUCUUCUGUUUCUUCGUCUUUGACAGAGCAGUCAGCACUCAGCAGACUAGCAAAGGCUUCUAGCUUCUUCUUCUUGCCAAAUAAAUAAGGAGUAAAAAUUUAGACCCCUUUUUGACUUCUUCUUGAUUCUAGGCUUCUAGCUCUGGUCUUUGCAUUUCCUGGAACUCUCAUUACUGUUUAUUCUUUCUACUCAUAUCUGUUCCUAUGUUUCGUUAGUAGAAAAUCUCGGAAUAUUCCGACGACCCCUGUCGGAUUCCAGCUUUAGCAAUCUGAUUUCCGGCUACCAAUUUCAGAGGAAUGGGUAGUUGAAAUGUUAAUAUGCUCUUCAGCCCUUUGAGGCUUUGAGCUUAGUUGGAGAGUUCAGCAUUGAUGGGGUCCUGUUUGAGUGUUGAAGAAGAAGCUAAAUUCCAACAACAAAAUAAUAAAUCUUCAAAUCAUGGCUCAGGCAGUAGAUGUGACUGGUUUUUAUGAUUGUGAAUCAAACUGCAAAUUGGAGUUGUCAUUGUCAAGAAAUUCAUGGAGAGUUGGAGCUCAAAAAACUGAUGAUCGGUCCACAGAAGCCUACAAUUCAACAGCUUCGGCAGCAUUUAAAAGACGCUUGUAUUAAUUCACUUCUUGUUAUAUCUAGGGAAAAGGGUCAAAAAUGCCCUCGAACUUUAGCUGAUUACACUCAUCAACAUUUUUUUUUAUGCAAUGAAGCUCAAAAGCCGGUUAAUGACGUGCUA